rnacentral:lncRNA from 1 species
UACUGCUGCAUGUCUGAGUGUAUUGAGUUCUUGCUCGGGAGCGCAAAGUGCUACAGUACACACUAGCUGCUAACGAGACCGAGCGUGAGUGUUUUUCUGGCUUCGAACCCCCCCCCCCUACGUUGCGCAUGGGCCUCCUUUUAUAUGCUCAAGGGGUCACCGACAGGUGGCAACGCAGGCAAGGGUAAAAAUGGAAAAAUGUGUUGCGGUUGGUACAACUACCUGUACAGUGUAUCAUACCUAACCCUGACGGCAGGGGACAAAGGCAUUAAAUGCCCGUCUGCGUCGCCCAAACAGUGCAAAAAGGGACCGUCAGGGGCGCCAUCGCUUGCCACGAUGGCAAUCUUGUCAGCGCCGCAUGCCACCACGCACCGCUGGCUGCACAACCAAUUGCCACGCGCGCCUAGAAAGGUCCCAGGGCGACACGUUGGUGGAUGCGCUGGAGCGCGGGUACAGAGUGGUAGCUUGCCGCGGCAAGCGCCUUGCCGCGGUCGUUGUCUUGUCGCGUCCGGAAGCUUGUCGCUCACCGGGCCUUGCCGGGACGCGUGGCGCGUCGCGGCAAGUUCCUUGAGAUGCCUCGGUUGGCCUUCCCGGCAAGCUCCUCUUGCCGGGGCCUUGUCUCCUUGGCUUGAAUACUUUGUUCUUGAAUGGCUCCAAAGGAACCACGGAGGACCUUGGCGGUCACCCGGCAAGCCUUGCCGCGGGGUGCUGCGACUGCCCGUGCACAAGUUCGGGAUACUAGGGUACCCCUACUCUAGUACACCGACAGGAGCCCCCGGGCCUGGGCUACACACAGUGCCGAGCGCUGUUGGGCCAGGCCCAAAAUAGGGCACGGGCACGCGUGGCCUGGGUUACGCCGUAUCUUACUCCGUAUCCACCGCGCCCUCCUCGAACGGCAUGCGUCGAAUGCGGCGUCGUGGGAGAGAUCGUGGGUGGUUUCUUUAUUCGGAAAGACGGAACAUUCGCCCCUCCCUCUUUAUAAGAAGGGGAAACAGGGGCAGUUCGCCCAUCUCGCCAGUUGCUCAUCCAAUCUCAGAAAUCCUCCGCCGCUCCCCCCUUCUUCUCAAAGCCGAAAGAGAGCAGCGCUCCGCCCCCCAUCGCCACCAGCACCACCAACGCCGUCGAUCUCCUCCACCACCUCCACCAUGGCCCCGAAAGCCGGCAAGGGGAAGGGCAUGAAGUCGACCGAGGUGCAGCGGCUUGCGGCGCUGCGAAAGGAGCGGACAACCUUCCCCUCAAGCUCGCCGCGAAGGAGCUGAGGGAGUAUUACUACCUCUUUUGGUCGACGGAGACGCGAGCGCAUCCGCGCACGAAGGUACUCUCCGCCGCCGCUUCGAAACGGGCUCCGAAUGGAUAUCCCUUCUUCGCGUUGUUCUUCUACUGCGGGCUCUGCCCGCCUUUCUCUGAGUUUUUCUGCGACAUUAUGAACACCUACGGGUUCCACCUCCUUGACUUCACCCCCAAUGCCGUUCUGACCAUGGCAGUUUUCGCACAUCUCUGCGAAAACUUUGUCGGAGUCCAUCCAAAUGUAGCUCUUUUCCGCCACUUCUUUAUGCCCCGAGUUGAGAGAGGGGAGCCUUUAUCCGGCGGAAUCGCCUGGAUCUCGAGAGCUGGCAAGAAGGAAGCUUAUCUGGAGGGAGAGCUCCGCGGCAAGUGGGAGGAAUGGAGAGCAGACUGGUGCUGGAUUGUUGAGGAGAACCCGCAGCCGUUUACUGCCGAGCGCCAAGCCCCAGUAGUGCGCGGCAACGAUUGGAGCAACGUGGCCCCGGAAGACGAUAGGCUGAAGAUUGCCGUCACCCGAAUCCUGCGCCUCAGGCUUGCCAGGCUCACUGUAGGCGCCAUUGGCGCAGAUUUUCUUCGCCGCCGCAUCGCCCCCCUGCAGGAGAGGAGGAGACCCGGCUGGGAGUUCAGUGGUGCGGCGGACAUCAUGAGGCUGCGCCCGGGCCUCAACUUCAACUUCACUGUCCUGGAACUGGACGCGAUGCUCAAGGAACUGUUCAAACACGACCCUCAACAUCCCGAAUGGUUCAGGUUGCCGAAGGGUGUCGUUCCGCUGUGCAACAACUCCUCGCUCGACCGCAUCCGUGCAAUGAUGCCGCUGUGCGAUUCGCAUGGAAUUGUCCCAACUUGGCAAGAGCAUGCAGACGACGUCAUGCAGGAGUUCUUCGAUGGCUUGGUAGAAGUGCUGGUCCGCUUUGAUGAGCAGAAAAGCCUCACCCGCGACACCACCGAUGCGGAGAUGCAGCGCAUCACCACUAGAGCGGAAGAGGCGGCAGCAGCCACUGCCGCGGGCGAGUUUGGAUUCACAGUGGAGGAGGCAGAGGCAGCAGAGGCGGAAAGCCUUGCCGAGCGAGAUGAGCUUGCCGGCGAGGGAGAGCUUGCCGGCGAGGGAGAGCUUGUCGGCGAGGGAGAGCUUGCCGGGCCUGAAGUCGAGUCGGGCGAUCCCGCCGAGGGUGCGAGCGGCUCGUUGGAGACCAACUCCUCUUCCUCCUCGUCUUCAGACAGCCCGCCGCAAGCAGAGCCCCCAGUUCCACCAAGAAGGCGUCUCCGCAAGGUUGGGGACGUAGCGGGGCGGCAAACGAGUCAACAGCCGCCGCGCCGCGCGACACGCUCCACCGUGACAAGCACUGUUACCGCGGGAGCAUCUCACGCCGCUGCGACAACUGGAGCGGGGUCCUCCCAGACCACCGCUUCUGCUCCUACCGCUGCCCCCGCCAAGCGGUUAAGGGAACCCACUCCUCCGCCUCGUCGCGCCGAAGGUGGGCCGGACUUCGACCUCUCCGCGCUCAGCUCCGACGAGGAAGAAGAAGAGUAAGAUUCUUUGCUGUACUUGUAGUUCUUCAAUUCUUGCUGUUUUGUCUUGUGUCUGAUUUGCUUUACUCCGAACUCAUUCCUUUUCCGGACUCUGGCCCAGAGAGCGGCGAAGAGAGCCAAGGUCCCGGUGAUUGUCAUCGAGGACGAACCCACCGCGAUAGUGGGGGCGUGCCCGAGACCACCUUGCCGGACCCGACAACUGUUCCCCAAAGCAGCCCCCAGCGCAGCCCCCAGCGUAAGUGGAUGGUUUACUUCCCGCUGUUAGGCGCGCAUGGGUGCCCUUUCUUUGCUGAUAUCUGACUAUUGGUUUGUGUAGGAGCAGAGCAGCCUCACCAGGAGCGCCUAGAAGCCGCCCCCGACAUGACAUCUACUUCGACUACACCGCCAAGGGAGGAUUCCCCGGCAAGGGAGCGUUCUCCGGCAAGGGAGAAGUCUCCGGCAAGGGAAAGUUCUCCGGCAAGGGACAGCACCAACGACCCCCCAGUGGUGGAAACCACAAAUGUGGAGCCCAGUACAGGUAAUCCUCUUGCUUGAAAACUUCCCUUGGGUUCUUCUUUUUCUGAUUUUAUUUUUGGAUAUUUGCUUGACUUUUCUCCCUCUUCAGGCCGUCAGAUCCCCCUGUUAUGGAGCCGAUGGAGACCGAGGUCGCCGGCGAGGAGAACGCGAGCGGCAACACCGACGACGCCACUGCCACCGAAGAAGCAGUUGACACUGAUGAGCCCGCCGGCGAAGAGGCCGCCAAAGCUGCCACCGCAGAAGCUGGCGAGGGAUCUGGCGAUCGCACUGACGGCCCUGAGGCCGCAGGAGCGACAUGCGCUACGCCGACCGCCGAUCCCCCCGCCGCUGCCGCAGCGUCAGGCUCCGAAGAGCCCCAGCCCGGGGCCUACUUGAAGGCCGGCGAUGGCGUCUUCAUCAAACUCCCCUGGGAGUAGAGCUCCAGGGCGCCGGUCGAAGGCGAAACCUUGGAUGGAGAAGUGCUCGCCUCCGCUGGGCUGACGCUGGUUGUCGCGCCGAGCAGCAGCAGUGGCGAGUCUGAGGAGGAGCGGCUGCUGCGGAAGCUGGUGUCGCUCUACCGCGCUCGACAGUCCAAGGUGGAAUCCCGAGAAGCGCUUGUCGCGAAGGCGGGAGUGGACAUCGAGAAGCGCAUGGAGGAGCUCCGGGAUCUUAACCAGGAAAAUCUCCGGUCCUUGGCGGCGGAGCGGGAGCAACUCGCCGAGGCGCGGAAAGCCUUCCUCCUCGAGAAGGCCGAAGCUGAAGAGCAGCAGCGGCUUGCCGCCGAGGAGCUGUUUGCGCGGGAGGGCGAGUUGGCGCAGCGAAAGGUCAAUCUUGACAGCCAUGAGGAGGAGCUUGCUGCGCGCGAGCAAACAUUCGGCGGGGCUCUCAAGGAAGCAGAGGAUGCUUCCGCAGCUGCCGAGGCCGCCAAGAAGAAGCUGGAGACGAAGGUGGCGCAGCUGGAGGCCGAUCUCAAGGCGAGCGGCGAAGAGCUUGCCGCGCUCAAGCGUGAGCGCGAGAAGGACGCCUACACUCUUGGCGAGCUGCAAGGUAGUCUCGCCGAGAAGGGCAAGGAGCUUAGCGCCGCCAAGGACUCCAACGCAGAUCUUGAGUUGAAGCUGACUACUUUGACCAAGACGCUGGACAGCGCCAGGGAGCAGGAGGUGGCCUUGAAGAAGCAGAUCAAGGCCGACGAGGCACUGCUGGCGAGUGCUGCCGCCACCCAGAACACUUUUAGGGAGAAUGUAGAGCACUGGACGGAGGGUCUUGUGGAUGUUGCCGCAGCCAUCGACAGGGAGCUGGCGCAGCUGGGGAUGGAGGAUUUCGGGUAUCCCUCCGAUGAGAACCUCCAACCCAGCGCCAAGCUCAGCUUGUUCUUCAAAGGCGUGGCGACAGCCCUCCAGCGACUCCAGGAGAAGAUCCCAAAGUAGCUGGCCGACGAGUCGCGCAUGAUCUGCGCGGGAGUUCUUCAAAAGGUGUUGAUGAAGGUGGCCUUCCGCAACCCAGGCCUCAACCUCACCAAUGUCCUCAAGACCUUGUCGCCGGAGGCUGAUCUGGAAGCGCUCAAGACCCUUGUUGCACCCAUUGUGGACAAGGCGAGCGAGAUUAAGAGGGUUGAGGGCGAUCACGUAGAUUAGGCCGCCCGUUUUCUCCUUUUCUUGUCGCUGCUGGUCAUGUUAUGAAAACAAUCUGUUAGAGCUGCGACAAGCUAUCUUGUAAUAUAACUCUAUGUUGGGUAUCGAUUGCUAUGUUAUUUCCUCUACUUGAUUCCUUCCUUUGCAUGUUUUUGCCCUACGCUUUUAGGGAACUUGCCGGUGCAGGCGCCUUAGCCGCGAGCGCUGAGUGCGGGACGUCAGCAGCCUGCUGGCGGUGCCGCUACCGACAAGAAACCUUGUCGCAACUAGUCGCAGCUCACUUAAGUUGUUGAGCGGACUCGAAACAAAGUAAGGGCGCAACUAGCUACGAGUUGGUUCCUCCGCGCACAGGUUUUCCAUACAAAGCACGGUCGUUCGAGGAAGAUAACUUAAAAUUUAAAACUGAUUGCUCAAACUUUGGCAACUUAGCUUUUCUGUUGUUUGCUUCCCGGUAAGGCGAAACUUUCUUGAACGACGCCUGGUCCACACCAUUAUCUUCUCCUUUCCCCCCGGCAAACUUGUGGGCGAGGGAACCUUCCUUUCUUUGAGAAAAAGAAAGAAGAGAAAAUAAAGAUAUGGAGCCUUACGGCUCGUUAUUUCUUACCGGGGGUAGGUGCUGCACAAAGUGUCAGAUAACACAUGCAAAAAAUAGAAAGCAUGAAAUUGACAAGAUGUGCGGAGCACAUCAGCUUUACUUAUGCACGGGGUCUGCGCCCGGCUUUGUACAAAGGGUUACAUGCAACAGCGGCAAGGCUUGUACAAAAGGUGGUUGCCGGAACGGGUUCCGGCAACCGCACCUUACGGGUAAAACUUACGAAGAUGCUCAAUGUUCCAGGAGUUGCUCACCGGAAUGCCAUCUUCGGUCUCAAGGCGGACAGCGCCAGGCCUAGUGACUCGUUUCACCCGGUAAGGGCCUUCCCACUUCGGCGUCAACUUGUUGGAAUUCUUGGCGGACUGAACGCGCCGAAGAACAAGGUCGCCUUCCUCGAGACUUCUGGCAUUAACUUUGUGGCUAUGGUAGCGGCCCAAAGCUUGCUGGUAUCGAGCAGCUCGUACAGCAGCCUGAAGACGGUCUUCCUCAAGGAGGAGCGCGUCAUCUUGUCGCAGCUGCUCUUGCUCAAGCUCAUCAUAAGCGAGCUCUCAAGGCGACCCGUAUACGAGUUCCGUGGGGAGAACUGCCUCUGCUCCAUAGACUAGAGCGAAAGGUGUCUGGCCAGUGGCUCAAUUUGGCGUCGUCCUAAUCGACCAAAGAACCACCGGCAGCUCCUCAAUCCAGUUCUUUCCGCACUUGCGCAGCCUAUCGAAAGUCCUGGUCUUGAGCCCGCGCGGCACUUCAGCAUUUGCCCUCUCCGCUUGACCGUUGCUUCUCGGAAGAGCAAUAGAAGCGAAGCAGACCUUGGCGCCAAGAUCUUGGACGUACUGCAUGAAGGUGCGGCUCGUGAAUUGCGUGCCGUUGUCAGUGAUGAUCCUGUUAGGGAUCCCGAAGCGGCAAACAAUCGACCUGAAGAACUUGACUGCUGACUGUGCUGUCACCUUCCUCACUGGUUCCACUUCCGGCCACUUUGUGAACUUGUCGAUUGCAACGUACAAGUACUCAAAGCCCCCGACAGCUCGGGGAAAGGGGCCGAGGAUGUCGAGCCCCCAGACCGAAAAUGGCCAGGAUAAAGGGAUCGUCUGGAGAGCUUGAGCUGGCUGGUGUAUCUGCUUGGAAUGGAACUGGCACGCUUCACACUUGGUUACUUGUGCAGUUGCAUCCUGCAGGGCCGUCGGCCAAAAGAAACCUUGCCGGAAUGCCUUGCCGGCAAGUGCUCUUGCGCCAAUGUGGUGACCACAUAUACCUCCAUGUAUCUCUGCCAACAGCUUUUGUCCGCCUUCCCGGUGAAUACACUUCAAUUUCACACCAUUUUGUCUUCUUCUGCACAGUGUGUUAUCAACAAACUGGUACAUACUUGACUGCCGGGCUACUCUUUCCGCUUCUUCUUGCUCUUCGGGAAGUUCUCCUGUCUGAAGGAAACGGACAAUCUGUUGUGCCCAUGCUGGAGCUUGCGGCUCGACAACAAGGACUAAAGGCACAUCUGCUGCUGCGGGAACAUCCGGUUCUACGGUGAGAACCUGCGGCUCUGCCGGAGCUUGGCGUUCCCCGCAAGCUUGCCGGAGCAAAACUUGUCGGGAGCGUCUGCUUCGACGGAACAAACCCUAGGGCUUGCCGGAGCAGACUGCUCGUCAGCACUCUUGGUGUUAAUCUUGGGUACCUUCUUGGCGGCGGCUUCGGGGAGCUCUACCGGAAAAUAGUCACCAGAAAUCAACUUCCUCUUCUUGCUCCGUCUAGUUGAUGGCGUUACAGAUGGUUGAGUCAGUUUGAGCACAAAGAUCCCUGGUUCCACAGGUAAUUUAAGUGUGGCGCACUUUGACAGGCCAUUGGCAAUGUCGUUCUGAGCUCUUGGAACAAGUUCCAUCUGUAGGCCGUCAAAGUGCUCUUCUAACUUUCUCACUUCAUCAACGUAGGCUUCCAUCAACGGACUCUGAUAAUUCUUGUUCACUUGGUGGACGACAAGCUGUGAGUCACCCCUGACAAUGAGCUUCUUGAUCCCAAGGUCUGCUGCGAUCCUGAGACCGGCAAGCAAACCUUCAUACUCUGCGGUAUUGUUUGUUGCUUACUCCUUGGGAAAGUGCAUCUAGACUACGUAUUUGAGGUGCUCUCCGAUGGGCGCAACAAGUAGUACGCCUGCACCGGCGCCUUGCAGCGAGAAGGCACCAUCAAAGUACAUCCGCCACUCUUUGCUUGCUUCCUUGACGGGGAUGCUUGUUUCUGGAAUUUCUUCAUCUGGUGUUGGCGUCCAUUCUGCUAUGAAUUCUGCCAAUGCUCUGCUUUGGAUAGUUGAAGUGCUCUCAAACUUGAGGCCAAAGCUGGACAGUUCCAGUGCCCACUCGACAAUCCUGCCUGUUGCUUCUGGAUUCUGCAGUAUCCUCUUCAGCGGAAAGCGAGUGACAACUGUGAUCUCAUGUGCUUGGAAGUAAUGGCGCAGCUUUCUCGAGGCCAUGAGAAGGCCGAAAAGCAAUUUCUGCACACCAGAGUACCUCGACCUAGCCCCCUGCAGAAGGGAACUGACAAAGUAAACUGGGCGCUGCACCAUUCUCUUCUGCACCUCCUCACGCGCCUGCGCAGAUCCAUCUUUGUUGGGACCAGAGCUUGUCGGUGAAGUCCCCUGCUUGUCGCUGGAUGCAUCUGCCGUGGUUGCUAGCUCAUCAUCCGCCUCCCUCUCCGCUACUAACGCAGCACUAACCACUUGAUUGGUUGCUGCUAUAUACAGCAGCAACUUCUCUUGUGGCUUAGGUGCGACAAGUGUUGGAGUGGAGGACAGGUAUCUCUUCAAGUCUUGCAGUGCAACCUCCGCUUCCGGAGUCCAUUUCAUUGGACCAGCCUUUUCCAAUAUUUUGAAAAAUGGCAGGGCGCGCUCAGCAGAUCUAGAGAUAAACCUGCCGAGAGCAGCCACGCAACCGGCAAGUCUUCGUACAUCCUUGACGCGCUUUGGUGCUUCAAUCUGCUCAAUGGCCUUGAUCUUGUCGGGAUUGGCUUCAAUUCCCCGCUGAGACACAAAGAACCCGAGAAGCUUGCCGGAGGGGACUCCAAACACACACUUCUCGGGGUUAAGCUUGAGGUUGAUCUUGCGCAGAUUUGCAAAGGUUUCGUCUAAAUCUUGAAUCAGAGUUGCCUUGUCCUUGCUCUUGACAACUAUGUCAUCCAUGUAGGCUUCCACAUUUCUGUGUAUUUGUGGCUCAAAAGUGUCAUGGACUACCCUUGCAAAUGUUGAACCAGCAUUCUUUAAACCGAAAGGCAUCCAUAUGAAACAGUAUGUGCCACAUGGAGUGAUGAAUGCGGUCUUCUCCUCAUCCUCUUCUGCCAUAAAGAUCUGAUGGUAUCCUGAGUAUGCGUCAAGAAAUGAAAGCAAGUCGCAUACGGCCGUGGAGUCAACAAUCUGGUCAAUGCGCGGCAAGGGAAAUGGGUCUUUGGGACAAGCUUUAUUGACAUUGGUAAAGUCGAUACAAAGCCUCCAUUUCCCGUUUGCCUUGCGCACGACUACAGGAUUGGCCAACCACGUAGGAUGGAGCACUCCUCUGACAAGGCCUGCUGCUUUCAAUUUCUUGAUUUCUUCUGCGAUGAAUUCUUGGCGCUCCACUGCUUGUUUCCUGACUUUCUGCUUGACGGGCCGCGCAUGAGGACAGACAGCAAGAUGGUGCUCGAUUACUUUCCUGGGAACACCGGGGAUGUCAGACGGUUGCCACGCGAACACGUCGACGUUCGCCCGCAGGAAAGCAACAAGCGCGCUUUCCUAUUUAGGGUCGAGAGUGGCGCUGAUGGUGAAGGUACCACCAGUGCCGUCCUCCUUGGCGGACACCUUCUUGGUCUCUGGCGGAGCAGCCAUUGUCUUCUUACACUUGCCGGUGGAGCUCGAUGGUGCGUCCUCGAUGGUAGCGCAGCACUCCGAAGAGGUGCGCUUGCCGGAGUGGGCAUCAGAACUCUUGCCGGACUUGGUCUUCUUCUUCCCCCCGGGAGCUUCAACGGCAAGUGACUUGCGAUCUGUUGCGGCUACUGCUUCCCGGUAGAUCUUGUCGGCGCAGAUAAGAGCGUCCUUCUUGUCGCUAGGGACAGAGAUGACACUUAUCGGGCCUGGCAUCUUCAACAUGUUGUACGCAUAGUGAGAGGCUGCCAUGAAUUUGGCGAGUGCUGGACGGCCGAGUAUCCCAUUGUAAGGCAAUGGAAAGUCAGCAACGUCAAAAGUGACCCUCUCAGUCCUGAAGUUUAACUCGCUGUCAAAUGUCACCGGCAACGUGAUCUUUCCCUUCGGCUUGCUCCUUCCCGGAUUGAUUCCUUGGAAUGUGCCGGUCUCUUCGAGCUCGCUGUCAGGGAUCUGGAGUUUCUGGAGUACCGCGGAGGAGAUCAGGUUCAAGCCGGCCCCGCUGUCAACUAGCAUCUUAGUGACCUUGAGGUUGCGGAUAGUUGGUGAAACCAACAUCGGCAAGCACCCGACCGCAGUUAUGCGAUCAGGAUGGUCCUCAAUAUCAAAGAUGAUAGGCGUGCUGGACCAUUUCAGAGGCUUGCAUGACUCGACGGGUGGUUCUGCCGCAUUGACUUCCCGCACCCACUGCUUGAGCUGGCGGUGUGAAGUAUGCAGAGAAGCACCGCCGUCAACGCACAGGACCUCUGUGGCUUUCUGGAACUCCUGCUCAUCGGUCUCGUCGUCAUCCAUGUCUUCAUCGUCGUCGUCAUCUUCAUCCUUGUCGCGGCCGCAGGGAGGUCUGUCUCCUUGCCGCUGCUUGGCCUUGCCGCAGCGUCCUCCUCGGCCGGGAUGUUUCUUGCCGGAUCCUCCAGUACCUUCUUGGGCCUUUUCCUUGUCGCGUCGCUCGUAUUCAGCCUUUUUCUGCUCAACAAGCUGCUCGACCUUCUUGCAGCUCUGGAGGUCAUGGCCCUUGGUGCGGUGGAUCUUACAGUACUGCUUGUUGGUGCCGUCCUGCUUGUCGGCGACCACCACAGCCUGGCUGUUGGUAGCUUCGGCUUUCUUGGCGUCACCUCCGUUGCCGGACUGCUCAACGACUAGCACAUCUUUGCCUUUCUUCUUCCUGUCGUUCCGCCGCCAGUUUUUCUUUGCCGGGGCAGCAUCCUCGCUAUCAGAUCCUCCUGCUUCUGUAUUCUCUCCGGGGAGUUUCCUCCCUUCCUCGGCAUGUGCACACUUAUCGGCCAGGGCAUAUAGCUCACUGACAUCUUUGAUCUUGCACAUCGCCAUCUCUUCCCGCAUCUUGCGGUUUCGCACGUUUUGAUGGAACGCGCUGAUGACCGCGGCAGGGUGGACAUCUGGGAUGUUGUGUUGUACACGGCUGAAUCUCUGAAUGUAUUUGCGCAGGGGCUCUCCUUCCUUCUGGGCGAGCAGAUGAAGGUCGCUCUCUUGGCCAUGAGGCUUGUGGCCGCCUGUAAAGGCGCCGACAAACUGACGGCAUAGGUCUGCCCAGGAGGAUAUGGAGUUGUCCGGCAAGUGCAUGAGCCAGGAUCUGACAUUGGGUUUGAGCACCAGCGGGAAGUAGUUGGCAAGGAUCUUGUCGUCCCGCCCCCCGGCAGCUUGCACCGCGAUGGUGUAGAUGCUGAGGAACUCCGACGGAUGCGACUUGCCAUCAUACUUCUCUGGUACGUCUGGCUUGAAAUUCUUCGUGUUGGGCCACUGGACUUGCCACAGCUCACGAGUGAACGCAGGGCAACCUACCGCGUACGGCAAGUCGCCUGGUUCCCCUGGCGCAUGCAUGUCGACAGAGGGCCCGGUGCGCUGGUCCGAUUGACGCCGCGCUUCUCUCCGGCGCUCGAUGCGAGUACGAGCGUCUUCUUGCUGUCGUUCGUGAAGAACUUGGUGCUGAUCACGACGAGCUCGUGGAUCUGAUGACGCGGUGGAGUCGUUGUCGAGGUAGAUCCGGCGAGUCGGCGAUCUUGGCCUUCAGGGUGGAGAGUGCACGAUGGUUGCACCCCCACCAGUUUUGUCGCCAUCGGCUCGUGCCUGGCAGUCUUGCCGCGGCUGCGAUGUACUCGGCUGCCGUGGAGUGUCGCCGUUGGCGAAGCCGAUGAGACUCUGAAUGGUGGCCCUCCAUUCGUCGAUCUUGUCUGCCGUUGGAGAGUAAUCCAAGAGCAGUUGAGCUCUCGCCAAAGCUUCUGCUGGAGUGGUGGGUGGUAGUGGCGAACGGUGCGAGGAGCGGGAUAUGCUCGGACUUCUAACUAUGUUAGAAGGAGCAGUAUCCCGUCCAGGCGACCGUGUCUUGCUCGUGCCAGCAUGUUGGCAUGCAUGCUGGUCUUGAGCAUCUCGAGAUCCACCAGCUCGAUCUGGGUCCAACGAAUGUAUGGCACCGCGAGUACCAUGACGCUGUCGGUCCCGCGCCUCCUGAGACGGGCACGGUGCAUGUACGGACGCCGAGGUCUGCGCAGCCUUGUCCUUGGACCUGGCAGCACCGUGAGCUCCCUCGUCGACGACCGUUCUUCCGCCGGCGUCUACCCCACCAUCCUUUGCUCCGGUGGUGAUGGGAUCGACGUGGACGGAAUAGCUGCCUCCGAAGCCUUCUUCUUCGGCGGCAUGUCGAUGAAGAAGAUGAAGAUCUAGCUCAUGUGAACGCCAAUCAGGUUCACACAACCUCGACGUCCCCUACCUGGCGCGCCAAAGAUGUCGGGGAAGCUGAUCCACGGACACCUAUGGGACCGGCGGACUGAGCCCCUUUCGGUUCGGCGGGGGGCGGAGGUCGCGCAAAGAGCGGAUCGAGGCGAAGCACACGAGCAGUUUACCCAGCUUCAGAGCUCUCCGGAGAGAUAAUACUACUACUGCUGCAUGUCUGAGUGUAUUGAGUUCUUGCUCGGGAGCGCAAAGUGCUACAGUACACACUAGCUGCUAACGAGACCGAGCAUGAGUGUUUUUCUGGCUUCGAACCCCCCCUACGUUGCGCAUGGGCCUCCUUUUAUAUGCUCAAGGGGUCACCGACAGGUGGCAACGCAGGCAAGGGUAAAAAUGGAAAAAUGUGUUGCGGUUGGUACAACUACCUGUACAAUGUAUCAUACCUAACCCUGACGGCAGGGGACAAAGGCAUUAAAUGCCCGUCUGCAUCGCCCAAACAGUGCAAAAAGGGACUGUCAGGGGCGCCACCGCUUGCCACUAUGGCAAUCUUGUCAG